GACGAACGCUGGCGGCGUGCUUAACACAUGCAAGUCGAACGAAGUGGCGAACGGGUGAGUAACGCGUAAUCAACCUGCACUUCAGAGGGGGACAACAGUUGGAAACGACUGCUAAUACCGCAUACUGAAGGAGGGGAUUGCGUCUGAUUAGCUCGUUGGAGGGGUAACGGCCGAACAAGGCGAUGAUCAGUAGGCGGUCUGGUGGGAUGAACGGCCACAUUGGGACUGAGACACGGCCCAAACUCCUACGGGAGGCAGCAGUGGGGAAUCUUCCGAAAUGGACGAAAGUCUGGCGGAGCAACGCCGCGUUGGUGAUGGAGGCCUUCGGGUUGUAAAGCUCUGUUAAUCGGGACGCGGUACCGGAAUAGAAAGCCACGGCUAACUACGUGCCAGCAGCCGCGGUAAUAC
rnacentral:rRNA from 1 species